UGAUAUCCUUAGCUUUACUUUCCUAGGUAC
rnacentral:piRNA from 1 species